rnacentral:rRNA from 1 species
UACCACGUGAACGAUGAAGGUCUUCUGAUUGUAAAGUUCUUUUACUUAGGAAAAAAAGCUUGACAGGAAAUGGUUAAGCCUUGAUCGUACUAGGUGAAUAAGUGACAGCUAACUAUGUGCCAGCAGCUGCGGUAACACAUAGGUCACAAGCAUUAUCCGGAUUUAUUGGGCGUAAAGGAAGCGUAGGCGGACAGUCUGAUCCAUUGUUAAAUGCACUUGCUCAACAAGUGUAUGCAGUGGAGAUCUCCUGUCUAGAAUUAAUUAGGAGAAACUGGAAUUCAAUGUGUAGUGGUGGAAUACGUAGAUAUAUUGAGGAACACCAAAGGCGAAAGCAAGUUUCUAGAAUAUAAUUGACGCUGAGGCUUGAAAGCGUGGGGAGCAAAUGGGAUUAGAUACCCCAGUAGUCCACGCCGUAAACGAUGGGUAUUUGGUAUUUGGGCUGGACCUGAGUGCCGGAGCUAACGCGUUAAAUGCCCCGCCUGGGUAGUAUAUAUGCAAAUAUGAAACUCAAAGAAAUUGACGGGGAUCUGAACAAGUGGUGGAGCAUGUUGCUUAAUUCGAUAAUACACGAAAAACCUUACCAAGGCUUGUAAUCUUCUGCAAAAGUGUAGAAAUACAGUGGAGUAUAUCAGAAUGACAGGUGGUGCAUGGCUGUCGUCAGCUCGUGUCUUGAGAUGUUUGGUUAAGUCCCGUAACGAGCGCAACCCCUCUCAUUAGUUAAUUAGUUCUAAUGUGACUGAAUCGUAAGAUAUAGGAAGGAUGGGGCCAAGUCAAGUCAUCAUGCCCCUUAUGCCUUGGGCUGCAAACGUGCUACAAUGGUAGGUACAAUGUGUUGCAACUUAGCGAUAAUGAGCUAAUCACCGAAAACCUAUCUCAGUCCGGA